rnacentral:rRNA from 1 species
AUACAGAGGGUGCGAGCGUUAAUCGGAAUUACUGGGCGUAAAGCGCGCGUAGGCGGCUGAUUAAGUCAGAUGUGAAAUCCCAGGGCUCAACCUUGGAACUGCAUCUGAUACUGGUCAGCUAGAGUUGAGGAGAGGGAAGUAGAAUUUCAGGUGUAGCGGUGAAAUGCAUAGAUAUCUGAAGGAAUACCAGUGGCGAAGGCGGCUUCCUGGCCUAAAACUGACGCUCAGGUGCGAAAGCGUGGGUAGCAAACGGGAUUAGAUACCCUAGUAGUCC